GGUUCUAUGGUGUAAUGGUUAGCACUUUGGACUUUGAAUCCAACAAUCCGAGUUCGACUCUCGGUAGAACCU
rnacentral:tRNA from 1 species